rnacentral:rRNA from 1 species
UGGGGAAUAUUGCACAAUGGGGGAAACCCUGAUGCAGCGGCGCCGCGUGAGUGAAGAAGUAUUUCGGUAUGUAAAGCUCUAUCAGCAGGGAAGAAAAUGACGGUACCUGACUAAGAAGCCCCGGCUAACUACGUGCCAGCAGCCGCGGUAAUACGUAGGGGGCAAGCGUUAUCCGGAUUUACUGGGUGUAAAGGGAGCGUAGACGGCUGUGCAAGUCUGAUGUGAAAGGCAGGGGCUCAACUCCUGGACUGCAUUGGAAACUGUGUAGCUUGAGUGCCGGAGAGGUAAGCGGAAUUUCCUAGUGUAGCGGUGAAAUGCGUAGAUAUUAGGAGGAACACCAGUGGCGAAGGCGGCUUACUGGACGGUAACUGACGUUGAGGCUCGAAAGCGUGGGGAGCAAACAGGAUUAGAUACC